rnacentral:rRNA from 1 species
AGGACGAACGCUGGCGGCGUGCUUAACACAUGCAAGUCGAGCGGAAAGGCCCUUCGGGGUACUCGAGCGGCGAACGGGUGAGUAACACGUGAGCAACCUGCCCUUAGCUUCGGGAUAGCUCCGGGAAACCGGAAUUAAUACCGAAUAUGACUGCGGCUGACAUCAGCCACGGUGGAAAGUUUUUUCGGCUAGGGAUGGACUCGCGGCCUAUCAGCUAGUUGGUGAGGUAACGGCCCACAAGGCGACGACGGGUA